rnacentral:rRNA from 1 species
AUCGGCCACAUUGGGACUGAGACACGGCCCAAACUCCUACGGGAGGCUGCAGUAGGGAAUCUUCCACAAUGGGCGAAAGCCUGAUGGAGCAACGCCGCGUGUGUGAUGAAGGCUUUCGGGUCGUAAAGCACUGUUGUAUGGGAAGAAAUGCUAAGGUAGGGAAUGAUCUUAGUUUGACGGUACCAUACCAGAAAGGGACGGCUAAAUACGUGCCAGCAGCCGCGGUAAUACGUAUGUCCCGAGCGUUAUCCGGAUUUAUUGGGCGUAAAGCGAGCGCAGACGGUUGAUUAAGUCUGAUGUGAAAGCCCGGAGCUCAACUCCGGAAUGGCAUUGGAAACUGGUUAACUUGAGUGUUGUAGAGGUAAGUGGAACUCCAUGUGUAGCGGUGGAAUGCGUAGAUAAUAUGGAAGAACACCAGCGGCGAAGGCGGCUUACUGGACUGCAACUGACGUUGAGGCUCGAAAGUGUGGGUAGCAAACAGGAUUAGAUACCCUGGUAGUCCACACCGUAAACGAUGAACACUAGGUGUUAGGAGGUUUCCGCCUCUUAGUGCCGAAGCUAACGCAUUAAGUGUUCCGCCUGGGGAGUACGACCGCAAGGUUGAAACUCAAAGGAAUUGACGGGGACCCGCACAAGCGGUGGAGCAUGUGGUUUAAUUCGAAGCAACGCGAAGAACCUUACCAGGUCUUGACAUCCUUUGAAGCUUUUAGAGAUAGAAGUGUUCUCUUCGGAGACAAAGUGACAGGUGGUGCAUGGUCGUCGUCAGCUCGUGUCGUGAGAUGUUGGGUUAAGUCCCGCAACGAGCGCAACCCUUAUUGUUAGUUGCCAGCAUUCAGAUGGGCACUCUAGCGAGACUGCCGGUGACAAACCGGAGGAAGGCGGGGACGACGUCAGAUCAUCAUGCCCCUUAUGACCUGGGCUACACACGUGCUACAAUGGCGUAUACAACGAGUUGCCAACCUGCGAAGGUGAGCUAAUCUCUUAAAGUACGUCUCAGUUCGGACUGCAGUCUGCAACUCGACUGCACGAAGUCGGAAUCGCUAGUAAUCGCGGAUCAGCACGCCGCGGUGAAUACGUUCCCGGGUCUUGUACACACCGCCCGUCACACCAUGGGAGUUUGUAAUGCCCAAAGCCGGUGGCCUAACCCUUCGGGAGGGAGCCGUCUAAGCAGACAGAUGACUGUGGUGUAUCUAACACACAUC